UUUAAUCCUGUUUUAAAAAAAAUGUAUAUAUUUUUUUCACUGUUGUAGAGCUGCCAAAGAAAAACAAAGGGCUGCAAAAGCACAGAAGAAAGCUACCACUGCACCUCCAAAGGUACAGAAAGUUGCUCAGAAACAGAAAGCUGCAAAACCUAUUCAGACUAAAGCUCCUCGUGUUGGUGGAAAAAGAUAAAUCUUUUUGAUGUCUAAAUAAAAUUAUCUUCUCAAAUAAA